ensembl:lncRNA
CUUCUGUCCUCUUCUGUGCCUCCCAUGUGGGGUCCUCCUGGACACGGGGACCUCAGCAGGGGAGGGGGAAUGCCCCAGAUAGCUGCAAGUGAGGUGAUCCCUUGGACUUCUAGGAACCAGCAGCUCUGGCCAUCUCUUCCCUCCCUCAGCCAGGGCAGCUGGGACCCCUUGUGCCUCCCACCCUGGUCGCCACCCUGGUCUGCAGGGGCAUGAGGGGGUCUCGGAGGGCAGGUGUCUGUGGACUGCGCCAGGUAGAUCCACGGUUUGACCCAAGCAGCAGCAAGAGUGAAAGUGGGGGACCCCGGGUACGUCGGGGCAGGACGGCAGCCCACCCUAUCCCACCAACACCCAGGGGCCCACGCUGGGCACAUAGCCAAUGGAGUAGAGGAACAGGUGCCGGAGCCAGGACACCUGCUGGCUUGGACAAUCGCAGACACUGUGCGUGGAUGGGAGCCUAGACCCGCCCCUCAGGUGCGGCUGUCACAGAGACUUCCUGCCCGAGACCGCGGGAGGGAAGGCUGCACCUGAUGCGCCCCAGCCUGGUGAGCAAGGCCAGCAUCACGGGCACGAGUCAGACUCUGAUCUCCAGGCUCAGGAGACCUCCAGGCUCAGCUGAGAAAGCGUGGGGCUCACCGCUCUGCUCGACGGAUCUGUCCCUGCCAGUCGUCCACGUCGGAAAACAGUUGCCGCACAUGUGUCCCGUGCUCUGGCUGCUCACAGUGGAAGGUGAAUGUGGUGCGAGUCUCGCCAUCACGGCCAACAGAGGGGCCUGGCCGUGCUGACUUUGAGCACCCGGUUGCAGGUUUCUCCAAAAUGUAAAGUUAAUAUUUUGCCUGUGUUGUUUACAUUUUGUGGGGACAGACCCUGAAACCGUGACUGUUGUCCUCAAACUGCUCCUCACGUGUCUUGGCAUCACGUGGUGAUUGACGCUCAAAUAAUCGUUACCACGAUGCUUGCCGAAGGACCACUCUCCAAUUUCACUGUUCCUCCUGCAUUUAUUAGUUGGAAUUCUGCGAGAGAGAGAGAGUGAGAACGAGCUUCUUCUCCUCCUCCUCCUCCACGAGUGAGCACAUGGAUUUCAGGACGGACUCCUGAAUCUCUGUUUCAUGCGAUGGGUUGUGACCUGUUACUCUCGUUGAUUUUGGUGCCAGACAGGGCUGGUAGGAGCCCCUUCAAGCUAGCUCCUCAGUCAUUUUGAUAAAUUCCCACAGGUUUUCGAGCAGCUUCCUUACUUUCCACUACAUGAUGUUCCAGGUUCAUCUUGGACGUUCCCUUCCCCAGCUCUGGAGUCAGCCAUGGCCCCAGGAAGCUCUGGAUCCUUCUAGUGGAGAAUGGUAUUUAAAAGCCAAGAUCUGGAGGCUGGGUGCACAGUGCUAUCUGGGCAUCAGCUCUCCAGGGUGGAUCAGCUGGGAACUCUCUCUCUCUCACACAUCUACAUCUCAUGCUCUGCCCAUCCUUGUACAUUAAAAAUCACAACUUUACCGUGAUUCCCAUGAUUCAAGCCCAGCACUGCAGGGUCUGUACUAGACUCCCCUGUCCCACAUUUGUCGCUCCUUUCUCUGACUGCGGCGCCUGGCUUCCAUCAUCCUCAACACGUGCACCUCAUUCUUCCCUGUUCACGUAAGCGACCUCCUGACCUUGCUGGCGUGUCCUCGUCCUUGAUCGCCACCCCAGCCUCCUCUCCCCAGCCUGACUGUCUCAAAGGAAGGGAACCAAUAGAUAUGUUUUAAGCAAAUAAAAGAGAAAGAAACACAAGCCCCUCCCCUGUU